UGUUUGGCACCUGGAGGUUUCUGACUUUGUGACUCUUGAGAGAUUAAGCUUCAGGAGAGCCAAGUUCUAGCCCCAGCUAGGCCCUACGUACGCUGUAUGACCUUCCCCAGGUCUCUGGGCAGCCUGGCAAAACUGCUUAGCGUUUUGUGCUGUGGACGGUGGGGGAGAAGGUAGGAAUAGUGCUGCAGAGAAAAAAGCAGUGAGGGGUAGGAUUCAGAGAUGAGAGGACAGGGAACGUGAAAUAACAUGAAGUUGAUUUUGAUGGAUUCCCAGCCAGCAGAGGUCACCAGUGGCAGGGGAAGGGCUGUGCCCGCUUUUAUUCAGGCUACAAAGAUUGCUCGCAUGGUCCAGGUGGAAAGGGAGCCAGGAGACCCGAGGAGGGACGCCCGCCGAGGGGGCAGCCAGGCGAGCGGCCAUCGAGGUCCCUCCACCUGAGCACCCGCAGCCCAGGCAGAGAAUGACUGAGCUGCUGCGGGAUAGUUUAAUCAACAGAGGAGCAGGGGAGGGGACGCGCGGCUCGCCGGAGAAAGAAUUUAAUUAGCAACGCUUUCAAGAAAGAAAAUUAAAUUACAGGAAACAGUGGUGCACUCUGAGGAACACGAAACCCCUAAACCGAUUCCCCAGACCCCCACGUGCGCCGGGACCACAGCAGGUGGAACGCGGCCGCGCGGGGCGGGGCCUCAACCGCCUCUCCCGCCCGGCUUACCCGGCGCCUGCGGCCCGGCACCCGCUGCGGUGGCCCGGCUCCGCCGGAAGGGGGCGCCGCCGGGCCACAGCCCUGUUCUCCAGGCGCCGGCGCUCGCGCGCGCGGCCAAGGUGGGCGCUGAGAGGACCUGGGCGAACCAAGCCCGGGACUGAACGGGCUGCUGGGUGUCUUGCCUCGCCGAGCCACACAGGGCUUCGCGGGCGCAAAAGGGCGAGAUUUGGGUCCCGUGCUAAUAGUGGUCUGACCCGAGACUCAUCCAGGGAAAUGGAGUCACAGAGUUCGAGGACCGGGCAGCCUUGUCCGCAUCCCGCCCCCUCCCGGGUGCAAUUCCUCAGACAGGCCCAGGAAGUCGCCCAGGAACACACAGCUGGUCAGUUCCUGGGACAUAAACGUGCUGACAACUUUAUGUAUUUGUUACUCUGAAGUAACCAUGCCAAUGUCUACAUCAGCUGCUGUAAUUUGAGGCAGGAACCAUACAGACUGUUCUUCCAAGCAAUUCUCUAACGGUUUGCAUAACUGUCCUUCCGAGAGAGAGGGAGGAAAGCCACGUGCUCUAAGAACGAGGCAGGAAUUCUGAGUGGAAAAGGCCGGAGUGGGUCACAGGACGCCAGGGACCCACAGAAUAUCUCCUUCCGGGAAGCCAGUCAAAGGCUGGGUUGAUAUUUGCUGUCUUCCCAUUAGUUGGAAAUGAGACUUUGGUAAAAGACAGUCAUAAUUAUUCCAAGCAAAUGACAACUCGUAAGGGUGUAAUGCCCUCACUUGCAUUUUGCUGAUGGGUCCGAGUUGCAGGAGGCUGCCUGGCUCUGUGUUGCGAUCUCAAAACACUUUAGAGACGGCACUGUUUUUUGCACCUCACCAACAUCUUGGGAUGCCAAACGAACACAAGAUUACACCCUCCUAUGAUAAAGGAAACUGAGGUAGCAGAGAUAAAGGAUGCUUCCUACUGCCUCUUCCUCCUGCCCUUCUGAUCGGGCUGCCUCCAGGAGGACCUCAUCUCCACCCCUCUUCCGCGCAGAUGCAAGUGAUACCCAGGAGGCUGGGAACAGAAUAAAGUCCUCAUCAAGUACCACCUCAUUUACAUGGUCUAUGACUAUUACCUUAAAAACAAUGUUAAGUCAACCUCAGACACUCCUUAUAACACUCACAGAAACAUCUUCCCUGGUUGGGGAGAGAGAAAUCUGUACUGAAAUAAAAGCUAAUUGACAUGCCCUCCAAAA